GAUCAUGAAUGCUAUGCUUUAUGUGAUUUGGGUGCUAGCGUUUCCACGAUUCCAAAGACUUUGUGUGAUUUGUUAGGUUUCCGUGAUUUUGAUGAUUGCUCUCUAAACUUGCACCUUGCGAAUUCCACUAUUAAGAAACCUAUGGGAAGAAUUAAUGAUGUUCUUAUUGUUGCAAAUAGGAAUUAUGUGCCCGUAGAUAUUAUUGUUCUUGACAUAGAUUGCAAUCCUUCAUGUCCUAUUAUUCUUGGUAGACCUUUCCUUAGAACGAUUGAUGCAAUUAUUGAUAUGAAGGAAGGAAAUAUUAGAUUCCAAUUUCCAUUAAGGAAAGGCAUGGAACACUUUCCUAGAAAGAAAUUAAAUUACCUUAUGAAUCUAUUAUGA
rnacentral:rRNA from 1 species